UACGGAGGGUGCAAGCGUUAUCCGGAUUCACUGGGUUUAAAGGGUGCGUAGGCGGGUAAGUAAGUCCGUGGUGAAAUCUCUGAGCUUAACUCAGAAACUGCCGUGGAUACUAUUUGCCUUGAAUAUUGUGGAGGUGAGCGGAAUAUGUCAUGUAGCGGUGAAAUGCUUAGAUAUGACAUAGAACACCAAUUGCGAAGGCAGCUCACUACUCAAUCAUUGACGCUCAGGCACGAAAGCGUGGGGAGCAAAAGGG
rnacentral:rRNA from 1 species